GUUAAAUCAAUUUAAUUUGAAUUUUAAAUUUUAUUUAAUAUUAAUUUUAUUAAAAAAAUUUAAAUAAAAUAUUAAGUGUUUAAUUAUUGUAAAGAAAAAAUUUAAUUUAUUAUAGAUUAAUAGUAUUGUGAAAGAUUAUAAAGAAAUAUAAAAAAGAAAAAUUAAUAUUUUGUACCUUGUGUAUCAGGGUUAAUUAAUUAUUAAUUUAAUAUAAAAUAUUUCUCGAAUUUAUAAGAGUUAAUUUAUUAUAUUUUUUACUGUAGAAUAAUUAUUAUAAAUAAUAAAUUAGGAGUUAGAUGUUAUUCGUUUUUAAAUAUAUCUAGUUUUUUAAGAAAAAAAUUUAAUUUGUUAAUUAAUUUAAAUUUUUUUUAUUUUUUAAUUAAAUUUAAUUGAUUGGUUAUAUUUUAAGGGAUAAGCUUUAAAGUAAAGAUUUUAUAAAAUAUGUUAUAUUUUAUUAAAUGUAAGAUUAGAAUUUUUUAUCAUUAAUAAAAUGUUAUAGUUAAUUAUAAUUUUAAUAUGAUUUAUAUUAUUUUUAAAUUUUUUAUUAAAAUAUAUAAAUAAAUUUUAUAUUUAUAGAAAUAAUGAUUAAAUUAGUAUAUUUAUUUAUAAAAAUAAUUUAGAUUUUGAAGGUUUUUUAAAGGAAUUCGGCAAAUUAUUUUUUUACCUGUUUAUUAAAAACAUGUCCUUUUGAUUAUUAUUUAAGGUCUAACCUGCCCAAUGAAAAUUAAAUGGCCGCGGUACUUUGACCGUGCAAAGGUAGCAUAAUCAUUAGUUUUUUAAUUGAAAGCUGGUAUGAAAGGUUGGAUAAGAAAAAUACUGUCUCUAAUUAAUUUUAUUAGAAUUUUAUUUUUAAGUUAAAAAGCUUAAAUUUUAUUUAAAGACGAGAAGACCCUUUAGAAUUUAAUAUAAUUAUUUAAUUUUAUUUUUAGUAUUAAAUAUUUAAAUUAAUGAAAUUAUAUUUAAUUGGGGUGAUUGAAAAAUUUGAUAAACUUUUUUUAUUAUUUUAAACAUUGAUUUAUGAAUAAAUGAUCCAAUAUUAUAGUUUUGAUUAAAAGAAUAAAUUACCUAAGGGAUAACAGCGUUAUUUUUUUUGAGAGUUCAUAUCGAAAGAAAAGAUUGCGACCUCGAUGUUGGAUUAAAAUUUAAUUAUGGUGCAGCAGCUAUAAUUUUAGGUCUGUUCGACCUUUGAAAUUUUACAUGAUCUGAGUUUAAACCGGCGUGAGCCAGGUUGGUUUCUAUCUUAAAUUUUUUUUAAUAUUCUAGUACGAAAGGAUUGAGUAUUAAAUUUAGAAUUUUAAUUUUGAAUAAUAUUAAAUAAUAUUAUUUUGGCAGAUUAGUGCGAUAGAUUUAGAAUCUUUAUAAGUA
rnacentral:rRNA from 1 species